CUGAAUAGGCGGGCCUC
rnacentral:tRNA from 1 species